UUUCUGUAGGUGAACCUGCGGAAGGAUCAUUAUUGAAUGAAACACUUCUGGCUUUAUGCUGUUGUGCUGGCCCUUUGGGCAAUGUGCACACGGCUCUGGUCACUUGUUUCUUCUGUUCCACCUGUGCACUGCCUGUAGACACGCUGUGUCUAUGAUAUUUGUUAACACACAACAAUGUUAGUUGGCAUGUUAUAUAUAAUAAUAAAAUAUACAACUUUCAACAACGGAUCUCUUGGCUCUC
rnacentral:misc_RNA from 1 species